rnacentral:pre_miRNA from 1 species
AAAAUGUGCGCGCUGUGCUGUCGGUAAACCGAGUGUAAGAACUUUGUUUCGCACUCUUGAAAGUAUUAUGCUCCGUUUAUCCGCAGUACGGCGACGACAAGAUCAUCUGGAUC